AGCCCAGCCAGGUGCCGGGACUUGGCGUCAGAAGACAGCUGUGAGGCUUUUCUCUGCCACCGGCAGAUCCAUCAACAGUCCUGAUAACUACUCUCAUUUCCAUGUAGUGAUGGGCAUGAACGCUAUCCUGAGAUUCCUGGAACAGAUGUAGUGUCAUAUGAAAGUAGCUGUGAUUUCUAACUGGUGACCAAGUACCAGGAUUUGUUGCCAUUUAUAACCCCCUGGGUGCUAUCAGAUGUGCUGAAUGCUGGAAGAAUCAAUACUCUAAUCUUUGGUUCCAGAGAAUCUGACUCAGGUUCAUGAAAAAUCGGAACUUUCUCUGGUGCGAGCUUUGCUUAUAACUUUGGCAUAGGGGACCAGGAAAGUCUCACGGAUGCAAAGAGACAUCGAAUGUUUUCAGUUCAUCCACGUCGGAGUGUGGGCCAGCACUUCAUCCCUUGCCAUGGCUGAGGAAUAGUCCAUCACGUGGACAGACAACAAUUUAUUUCUCCAUGCAUCAGGUGACAGACAUUUGGGUGGUUCCCACCUGACUCACUUCAUGAAAGAAUAUCUCUGGGCCCCAUGUGGAGGCUCAAAAGAGCAGAGCUGGGAGACCAGGGAGGAUGUAGCUGCAGGAAUCCCAGGAAUGCAGGUGAGGGCUGGAGGCGGUUGCCCUGCAGGUGAGUGAUGGGAGAGGCCAGAGGGGCCAGCGAGGUGUGGGUCUGGAGCCAGCAGAUCAUGUUUUCUGUCUGUCCUUCCUCCACGACGAUGUACUCUUUAGGAGCCGAGUGACGAUGACCUGUGGAUGAGCAGCCUGGGAUGCCCCUGUCCCCAGCCUCUUCAACCUGACACAAGUUUGCAUUCUAUGCUCUCUUUCUUUGGAACAAGGAUUGACUCCUAAGUGGCAUCUGGAGAAGGCCGAGCUUCCUGCAGGGACCUGAAGAGGGUUUUUAGAAACAGAAACGGAGUCAUCAGAUUGCUCACAGUGGCCAAAUCUUGCCCUAAAGUCAAAGCUCUGAAGCACUGCACUAAAGAGCUCUUGGAACACCCGUGGAUUCCCAAGGAAAGGAAUGGAUAAAGUUAAGCCAUGAUGACCUUGUUGAAUCCAGCCAUUCUGCAAGUGCCUGUUUUGACUUUAGGGAUGGAAGUCCUUCCAGGCAUGCCAAGAGGGAAGGAAACAUGGCAGGUGCACUGGCUUUGAAGUUGCCGUGGUGGUUGCAAUCCUGCAUCUGUCUGUUCCUGAUGGGGUGACCUCAGGUAGAGGAAAAUGUGAUUUGGAGACAUAGACACACAUGGAGUGUGACGAUGGAGGCAGCGAGUGGAGCGAUGCAGCUGCCAGCUGAGGAGUGCCAAGGGUUGAUGGUCACCAUCGGAAGCUAGAGGAGGCAAGGGGGGCUCUGUCUGGAGUCUCAGAGGGACAGCAGCCUUGAUUUUGGACUUCUUGCCUCCAGAAAGUUGGCAAGAAUUUCCAAGGCAUCUCAUCAACAACUUCUGAUAAAUGAGGAAGUGGAGGCUGAAUUAUAGUUCCACAGCAUCGGGAGCCAGAAGCGAGGUGGGAAUCCAAGUCUUCCGGAUUCCCAGCUCCGUGAUUCGUGCCUGUCACAAAUUUGGGACCAAAAGCCACCUGUCUGUGGGAUUAACAACAGUCGAGGCUAUGACUGACAUCGUGCCCUAGCGAGUGCACAGGUCUGGCCAGCUGGGCGGCUGGACCUGGCUCUCUCGCCUUGGGUCCGUUCAGCCCAUUUUGUGGAUGGAUCAGGUGAAGUGUGGCUCCUGGGGCUGCUGGCUGCUUUCCAGUGUGCGGUUGCCAAGCAUGUGAAUGAGGCUUUCCUGAGCCACAGCUUCCAUGGCGCAUGCCGGAGGAACCCUCGCAUGGAACCUAAGGGCGCCAGAGGCGGAGUUGGAGGCGUGGUAUUGGGGGAUCCUGGGGAUGCGUGUUGGGGGCUGGGUGGGUGCUAGGAGAGAGGAAAGAACUGGACCCACCUGGAAGACCAGCCAGGUGUGGGUCAGAAGCUAUAAACAUGAGAGGGCUCGAGGAAUUCUCAUAGUGCUUUCUGGAGCCGGGGAAAAGAGGGCUGGCCAGGAGGCCCCCACGUUUCUCUCCACCAUCCUGCAGUCUUCAUUUUCCCUCCAAAUGGGAGGGUUCCCCGCAGCUGGCCAGCCCGCCGUGGCACAGACUGUGUUUCUCUUCUUUGAGUGCCACACGAAAAACACUGAAUAGAUGCCGACAGGCAAGUUGGAAGAGCCAAAAGCCAGAACAAGUCGAGGCCGCUGCUGUUGCCCGACACACACCGUUGUCCCCAGCUCCACCCCAGAACAGCCCAAAUUCCCCAGAUUGCUGUGAAGAGAGUCAGCCUGUGCUCAGAGGCAUUGAGCAACUCGGAGCCUCCCAGGGUCCCUGACCCUGCACCCGGGAACAGCCAAGCGGCCUGAGCAUCCAGGGUCAGAUCGGAAGGCGUUUAAGGGAGGAUGGCUUCUUCCUUUUGGGGUGUAGUGGGAAAAUGUUGUUGGUGGGCAAAGGUCUCUCCACAUUGCCCAUCCUUGGGGUGGGGGGUGGGUUUCAGUUUGGGCUCAUGAUGUCUGGUUGCUGUUUUGUUUAGGGUGUGGGAGUCAAAUGCUGGAGGGUGGCGUUUGCAGAUGGUGCGAACCUUUCACCUCUGAGUUGAAGGGAAGAGGGAAGCAGCUGCCCUGGCAGCAGGAAACAGAGUCCGGCCUCGAGCUGACACCUCCAGCUGGCCGGGGAGGAAGUCACCAGGCAGUUGCUAUGUCUUUGAUGUUGGGGCUGCCUUUUCUCCUCUCGCUGACCACCAGACAGCUGGGUGGGCUGAGAAGGAGGUGCCCGGCACACACGUCUGUUUCCUGGAAAGCUGUGGCCACAAAGGUCACUCCAUGGACUCUGAGCAGGGGCCACAGGGGCUUCUGGAUGGAGACCUGGGAUUUGGCCACACAUUGCAUCCCCAGACUUUGCUGGAUAUUCCCAACCGCUCUGAGUGAAUUCCAGGGAGGCAUCCCCUGAAGCAGGAGUCCCACCCCGCUGACAUGCUUGACAAUUCACCACAAACCCAAGUACAGGUGACCCAGGAGAAGAAGGCUGCCGAGCGAAUGUCCUGCAUGCAUUUAAAGAGUUAAUAAGGGAGGGCCAAGGAGCCUGAUUUAAAACAGAAUAGGAAAGUCUUUUAA
rnacentral:lncRNA from 1 species